CAGGUGUCUCUACUCAUCUGUCUUAACGUUCAAAGAUGGGAUCGUCAUGGACGCAGAGGCUGCGGUGGGACAGGAGGCUGGAAAUGGAGUUAGCUCAGAGCACGGAGGAUUUUAUUUAUUCACCUGACAGACAGAGAUCACAAGAGAGGAGGAAGCAGGCUCCCGCUGAGCAGAGAUCCCAAUGUGGGGCUCCAUCCCAGGACCCUGGGAUCAUGACCUGAGCCGAAGGCAGAGGCUUUAACCCACUGAGCCACCCAGGCGCCCCUAAUAAAUGUUUAAGUAUGUGAAUGAAGUACUGCAUGACCGAACGAGUGACAGACAAGUCUUCACCUCUUCCAAGUACCUGCACUGCUCAGGCCUCUGUCUCCCUAUUACAACAUGGCUGACCUGGCCUCUUUUC
rnacentral:lncRNA from 1 species